rnacentral:lncRNA from 1 species
ACUACCUGAGAGCCCCGAGCAUUUCGGAGAUUACCUGAUAAUUUCAUUUGGAUUUUUUUUUUUUAAUGAGGCUCAAAUUAGUUGCAAAUCAAAAGUCUAGCUUGUCCCAGCAGUGUACAGAGCCUUUACAGGGAAUUCAGCUCUCCUUCUGUUACUCCAGCAAGCUGAGAGAAUUGAGUCAUAAAUGUGACAAAGAACUUGCCCAAAGUUAUGGAAUUAGACACCAAACCCAGCCUUGCCUUGGCUCUUGAGCCUAGAGCCCUCGGUUUAAUGCUAGUGCCCGUGACUGAAAGCUAAGAAAGGGACCUGCGGGAUGGCUCAGCGGUUAAAGCACUUGCCAGGCAAUCUUGAGGACUUCAGUUUGGAUCUCUAGACACAACGCUUGACUGCCAGGGUUUCAUAUAGCCCAAAUUGGCAGCUCUGCAUGUAGCUGAAGGAGAGAGGAGCAGAAAUCCUACAGGGAGAUUUGCACCCCCUACCCCACCUUCCAGAGUUGUGGUCUGACCACCACACAGCACUCCUUUCAAGCAGGGACUUCGGGAAACAUCUGAUCCAUUUGCUCCGUUGCCUUUGAUCGUAGGCUUGGCUGAGGUGUGGAAGAACGGAUUUGAACACCAGCGCCAUGGAAUAUACAGCCAUCUUUUCACCCUGGGCUGAGGCA